rnacentral:lncRNA from 1 species
AAGGCUGUCAAGUUUAGAGCUAAUGUGGUACAAUUUGAUGGAGGUGUCUGCACAACCCUUGGGAUUUUUACCUCAUUGCACUGCUGUGUGGCUUUUCUGAAAAACAAAGUGGAUGGAGACUCUCCAGCAAAGUCGCAAAGUCGUGGUCUGUGGUGGCUGAUGCGUCUGAACUGACUGAUAAAAAAUGCGUGUUCAAGGUGACAAGCACUCAAGUCUGUAAGGAGGAGUUAAAGCUGCUGAAACACCAAGAUGAAAAGAAACUGUGGAAGAAAGUAGAACUGGAUGAAAGCAGAAGCCUUCUGGAUGAUUCUUGUGAAUUCACAAGAAGCAGAGAUUUGGGAAAAGCUGACCAGGAGAAAAAGCAUGCCCAGCUCUGGAAGGGCUUCUGGCCAUGCUGCCCUUUCGAUUGCACUGAGGAAUGCACUGAAGUCCUACCUGUCCUGGAGAUCCAAGGAACCUCUAGGGAUAUAGCUGAUCAACCUGGCAAUGGAAGGGAAAGCUGUCUGUGCUGCCAUCUGGGAGAGAAGUCAUUAUGA